GGACUACUGGGGUUUCUAAUCCCGUUUGCUCCCCUGGCCUUCGUGCCUCAGCGUCGGUAACUGUCCAGAAACUCGCCUUCGCCACUGGUCUUCCUUACGAUAUCUACGCAUUUCACUGCUACACCGUAAAUUCCAGUUUCCUCUCCAGUACCCUAGCCACGCAGUAUCGAAUGCAGUUUCGGGGUUGAGCCCCGAGAUUUCACAUCCGACUUACGCGACCGCCUACGCACCCUUUACGCCCAAUGAAUCCGAACAACGGUUGAGACCUCUGUAUUACCGCGGCGGCUGGCAC
rnacentral:rRNA from 2 species